UACGGGGGGGGCAAGCGUUGUUCGGAAUUACUGGGCGUAAAGGGUUCGUAGGUGGCCAACUAAGUCAGACGUGAAAUCCCUCGGCUUAACCGGGGAACUGCGUCUGAUACUGGAUGGCUUGAGUUCGGGAGAGGGAUGCGGAAUUCCAGGUGUAGCGGUGAAAUGCGUAGAUAUCUGGAGGAACACCGGUGGCGAAGGCGGCAUCCUGGACCGACACUGACACUGAGGAGCGAAAGCCAGGGGAGCAAACGGG
rnacentral:rRNA from 1 species